CCUAUGAAUGGGGAAAUUCUUAAAUUAAUUCACAAUAUAACUCAAGGUUGUAAAAAUCAUAACAAGAAAAGAGCCAAAUCGGACCUGGAUCUAUCAAUCUUCUCCUUCAGAUUCGCAACUUCAAACUAUUUCUUGUCCUCCUCAUGCACGCAAAUUCGAACUAUUCUCGAGAGCUAUAUUCGUGUCCUUCUACAACUGCAACAAGAACAUAACACUCAGAUAUGGAAAACGAAAAUAGAGAUGAAGAAGGAAACACUAAGAUGGAGAAGAAGAUGGAAAAUUGAUCGGUAAAGAAUCCAAGAAAUUAACAAAUUAUCAUCACUCAAAAUCAUCAUAAUCAAGUUAACAACAAAUUAACAAGAGAGUAAUCGGGGAUAGAGAGUGAUACAGAGAGAGAGAGAGGUGAAACCUGUGUUGAGGAGGAGC
rnacentral:lncRNA from 1 species